GAAAUGCGAUAAGUAAUGUGAAUUGCAGAAUUCAGUGAAUCAUCGAAUCUUUGAACGCACCUUGCGCUCCUUGGUAUUCCUUGGAGCAUGCCUGUUUGAGUAUCAUGAAAUCUUCAAAGUAAAUCUUUUGUUAACUCAAUUGGUUUCUACUUUGGUAUUGGAGGUCAUUGCAGCUUCACACCUGCUCCUCUUUGUUCAUUAGCUGGAUCUCAGUGUUAUGCUUGGUUCCACUCGGCGUGAUAAGUUAUCUAUCGCUGAGGAUACUGUAAAAGGUGGCCAAGGUAAAUGCAGAUGAACCGCUUCUAAUAGUCCAUUGACUUGGACAAUACUUUUAUGAUCUGAUCUCAAAUCAGGUAGGACUACCCGCUGAACUUAAGC
rnacentral:misc_RNA from 1 species